GGUGGCAUAGUGCUUAAAGCACUUGGCUGCUAACCGAGAGGUCGGUGGUUCGAACCUACCAGCCA
rnacentral:tRNA from 1 species